rnacentral:lncRNA from 1 species
UUAAAGCCAACUUGAGGCUAAUAUGGGAUCAUUUCUUGUCAUGCGAGUAACCUUGGACAUAAACAGCUCUCCUUCUACUUCGUUCGUAUUUGCAUGCGUGUGCAUUAUGUACUUAUUGCUAUUGAAAGAUGUAAAUGCAAGAACGAGAUCACGUUCAUAUCGAAUGGAUAAAUGUUUUUGCUAAAAUGUAUAGACUUGUAUAAGUCGUUGCUUGAGUUCCUAAAUUCUCAUUCUGAUCCAGUUUUUACCUCAGUUUUUUCCCGUAUAAUAGUUGUAUUUGGUAUAAGUUUGGCACUUCAAGUGUAGAGUGUUUUAUAUUUUCCAUGUGUGGAAUGUAUAUUAACAGCUUGUAACUAUAGAGUUUGAUUUUAUUUCUAAGACCCGUCUUUCAAAAUUUAUCCAGUGACAUACUUGAAUCACUUGGGAUCCACUGGCAAAUGUAUAUUGAAGAACAAUUUUCUCCCUGCCUCUUAUGUAAUCGCGCCCACUAAUAAUAUGGUAAUUUGUUAGAAGGUCCUUGAUGUCUGGUUAAAAUUUAUUUAGAUUAGUAAACUCAUCCAAAACGGUCUCACUUUCAAUUUUUAUUUUGAAAGUGUAUUUUUAAAGAUUCAAUCGGCAUUCUGCAUGUCAGUGCUUUUUUUGUUUUUUUAACUUUUACUUUUAAACUAUUGGUUAGAAGGCAAACAAUUCACAUUAAAGUGGAGCCUCCUUGGGACUAAAGGUAAUGCCUUUCCCAAAGCAAGAAAAGAAAACCCCCCAUGUCCAAUUAGCAUUGAUUGAGUUUAUUAAUUUGACUUGGGGCUUGUUUCGAUCUUCUUCUUCUCCUUCUUCCACUUCCUCUUCUUCAAAGUUCAAUUAUUGCAUCCUCUAAAAUGACAUGCAUUACGUAAUCUGACGUUUUUGUUUCUUAAGCAUUCACCACGCAAAAAGUUGUCUUGCUAGCUGCCAAAAACCAAAUUAACAUUGCUUCCAUUAUCCGAUUACAGUGAGUCACGUUGUCCCAGUGUGGUGUCAUUAAUCUGCUUAAUUUUAUGUAGUUUAUGUAUUAUUCACGAAGCAUAUAAAUUAAAAUUUAUAAUAAAAUUACAUUUUAUGUACAAUUAUUGUUUAAUACAUAAAACAUUACAUAUCAAAUUAUUAAAAAAAAAAAAAAGAGUUAAAAGCUCGUUUAAUUAAAUUAUUAUCCGUUUAGUAUCUGUAUGGAUUGUUAAUAUGUUCUACUUUCGUUCUUGAUUUAUGUCUGGUGUUAAUUUAUCUAUUGGGAGGAAUGUACAUUUUCAUUUUAUAUUCCUGAAGACAACUUUGAGUUGUAAGUAAGCAGUCCCUGCAAAUGAAUUCUAUGAUCAAACUAAAAGUCAGGAUGACGAAAUGAACUGCAUUAGAAACCUGAUAAAUUCUGUAACGUAUGUUAAAAAAAAAGGAAAGGCAUGUUCACACGUGAGAGAGAGAGAGAGAGAGGGGAAGCUCUCAAAUCGACCCGCAAAACCGGACCCAACCCCGCAAACCCGACCCGCCCACUGUUUCCGUUUCCGACCACCCCACCGGCCAAGGGAGGUAUCGAUCGAAAUACCUUGAGCCGCUGGUUAUUUUUCCCUCGUCAUUUCCAUCGGAAAAACAGCCAAAAAGCCACCGAUCGAGGCCGUUAAGAACCGCGGAAUCGCCGCCUCUGUUCGCCACGAUUUGGCUGGUUUCCGGCCACGCCAACGGCUGGUUUUUACUCCUCACACCACCACCUUUCAUUUCCGACUAUCCACAUUCACCGGCAGCCACCGAUUUGCUGCCGGCCAAUUGUUGAGGUGCUCACGGCUGUCGAGCUAGAUUCCGACGCCGUCGCCGCGUGUCAGAGCACAUCGACGCAACCGCUGGAUUCAGCAAGGCACGAACCUUCUAUCCCGACCUUUCCGGUCACCGUCGCAUGAAUUCCGGUCACCGUUGAAUUUGAGGGUAAUUUCAUAAAUUUUUAAUUUUGUGAGUAUUUCAAUAAUUUCUAAUUUGGAGGAUAAAAUUUGAGGAUAAUUUGAUAAAUUAUGAUUUCGAGGAUAAUUUGGUAACUUGUGAUUUGGAGAUUUCAGGGGCAAUUGAGAUUAUGUUUAGGUGUUUAUAAUGAGAAAUUUGAGGACAUUGAAAUUAUGAUUAUGACUUGAUUUUAUCUUAUGAGGAUUUUCUUAUUUGUUUUAGGUCGAUGAUAUAUAUUUGCAUUUGUUACUUGAGGAUGUCAUAAGGUAAGUAAAUUAGAUUUUUAAAUGAAUUAUGAUAAAUAAUAUGUAUAUGUUUGACAUAUUUAAAAAGUCUAUUUUGAUAUGUACGGAUAUAGAUUUGUAUGUUUGUCCAUGUGUUUAUGUGAUGUGUUAAUAUGGUGUGUUGUUAUGUGUUAUGUGUGUUUAUGGACAUGGGCAUUUGUAUGUGUGAAUGUCUAUUAACAUUAGCACGAAAAUGCAUUAUGUUUCCUAUGAAUGAGAAAGUGGAUUUUUGCCAAACGAAAUUUGAAGAAAAAAAGUGAGUUUUACAAUUUUUAGCUUGGAUGCUUGAAUUCGUUACUCGCUUUGUAACAUCCUAGUCCAAAUUUCGAGGGUAAAUUUGUCCAUAACUCACAUAUGAAUUUAAAAAAAAAAAACUCUUUACAACUGAUAUCUCCUUACAAUCGAUAAUAAGUCAAACUUCAAAUAUAAGAGGCAACGAAAUUAUUUAAAAAUUUGACCAAACCAUCUAUCAUUCUCAAUUCAAGUCCUCUUCGCACAUAAAUCAAUUCUAAUUUUUAAAAAUUGAAUCACAAUAAACUAUAAUUAGUAGAAAACUCAAUAAGCAAAUUAAUUUUUCCUAUACGAAAAUACAUACAUACUUAUAUAUAAUGCAAUAGAUGAUAUGUCAUGAUAUUUUCAAAAGUACUUGAAACAAAUUCAUAAAAGUCUAUUUUUGUCGCUUUUAAACUUUUUCAUUUUCUUUCAAUAAAAUAUAUAUUUUGUAAUUGUGGCACUUUGCCCUGUGCGUGGCACUUUGCGGCUCUCUAGCCCUCAAGACAUGACCCAUGUAUAGUCUCAAGAGGUGGCCCUCAAUACAAAAUCUCAUAAAGCAGAAAUUUCGUUUGCUAAAAUCCAUUUUCUCACUCAUAGAAAACUUAAUGCAUUUUCGUGCUUAUGCCAAUGAAAUUUCACACAUACAUAUGCACAUGUACGUAAUCACGCUCAACACAUAAUAACACAUCACAUAAACACAUGGGCAGAGAUAUAUAAAUUCACAUUAGUACGUAUCAAAUAUAGGUUUUUCACACAAAUCAAACAUAUAUAUUGUUUAUUGUGAUUCGUUUUGAAGUCUAGUUUACUUAUCUCUUGACAUCAUCAUGUAACAAAUGCGUACUGAUAUCAUCACCCUAAAAUCAUCAACAAAAUUCUCAUAAGAUAUAAUCAAGUCUCAAUUAUAAACUCUAAUAUCCUCAACUAUCUCAAUUUAAACAUCUCAUAAGCUCAACCUCAAAUGUCCUCAAUAAUCGGCCCUCAAAACAUAACAUGCCAUAUUCUCCGAUUUUUAAUAAAUUAUUUUUUUUUAAAUAAAAAUCUCAAAUUUUAUAGACCAUAAGUUGACAUAUUGAAAGUUCAUUGCUAAAAAUUUCAUAGUUUAAUUUCUUAAAAAAUUAUUGAAAAUAAUUGACGUUCCAGACAUCAUCAAUGUUGUCAAAUAAUUUUCUGUUUUGAACACACUUGCUUUAAAACUAAAAAAUAAUUUUUUUCUUUAUCAUAAAAUCGUGAAAAUUUAUAGAAUCAUACUAGACAUAUAUAAAAAUCAUUGAUCCAAAUUUCAUAAUUUUUGAAAAAGUAUAGCUAUGGUAAAAAUAAUUUUGUAAUUCACGUUAUUCACUGAAAUAAAAAAUUUUCAGGUUUUCAGACUUGAAUUUGAAAAAUCGUAAUUAAUUGAAAUCUUAUCCGAUUAACUUGAAACAAGUUUCAAAACAUUCUAAACGAUGUCUAGUUUAACAUAUCCAAAAAUCAAAAUCAAAAUCAAAAUCAAUUUUUACAAAUUACUAUGAUUUUCAUAAUAAUUCACUGUCAGCAUAUUUCUGCCAAAUCUUAGGUUUCUACUUCUAGUGCAAUCAUGAUUCUCCACAACAAAUUAAUAAAAACCAUAAAUUAAAACUUACCUCCAAAUCCAAAUCUUCUCUCAACAAUACCCAAUUCAAAUUAUGCAAUUUGAUCUCAUGUAUUGCUCAUGGCAGAAUAAAGAAUAAGACUUUCUUCUUCUCUUUUUAUUUUUUUUUCUCUCUUUUCUCUCCAUCUUUUUUUUUCCCUAUCUGUCGUUUUUUUUUUCUUAGCCAAUUUCGCUUUCUCUCUCUCUCCUAAUGGAAAGACAUCUUGUUCUAUUUAUACUAGGGUAGAAAUGAUCACUAAAAACUAAAAAGACUUAAAUACCCUUAAGAGAAUUGGGAUAUUACAUGCUUAGUGGAGGACACUCUGUAUGUUAUGUUGUGUGGGCGAGGGACGUGUUUACGUGGAUUUAUGAAAGUUAAGUGAGCAUCGUACUAAGCGGUAAUUGAAUUAAUGUAGCUCAAGUGAUCUGAAAGAAAAUGCGAAAGUUUGAAAAUGACAAAAUAAGAUUUUGAUGAUUCGUUUUACAAUAUUUUUGAAUACCGUGGCACGUCGUCCAUUUGCAUUAUAUAUAUGUAUGUAUGUAUUUUGAUAUAUGAAAAAUUGAUUUGUUUACUGAGUUUUGUACUUAUUAUAGUUUAUUAUGAUUCAGUUUUCAGAAAUCAGGUUUGAUUUAUGAUGAGUGACGAGAAAGACCUGAAUUGAGGAAGUAUGUGGUUUGGCAUAAUUAUCCUUAGGUUCUUCCACUGCAGUUUAAGGUUGCGUUUUGAGGCUUAAAUUGUCGUUAAUAAUUAUAUUCGACGAGCGAGUUCUUAUUGAUUUUAUAGAGAUUUUAAAGUAUAUAUUUGAAUUGCAGUUAGAUUCACCCUGUGGAGUUCGGGCGGGUCGUUUCAAAUUCAGCCAUUCCGGAUCCGGAGGUAAAGGGUGGGUUAAGACGGCCCAUGGGGAAGUCAUAUUCUGGGCAAAGAUACAGAGUUAUUGGGGUUUUGGCACACUGAAUUUAAAUCAUAUAAAAGCCCAUCACUAAAGCUCAAGGUAAGAAAUGCUGAUCGAUUUGAUUUCAAGACUGCAACUGGGGAAGCUACAAUUGAGAUUAAUCUGAAGUUGCGAAGAAUAGUUUCGGAGAUUCAGGUAUUUGCUGCUUUUUGCUUCAACUUUUAUCACUUAACCUGCUAUCCUUGUAUAUGAUUACAUAGUGCUUGAAAUUCUCUCUGUUCCAUCAUAAUGUUAAUGCAUCUUUGAUCUUCACACUUUACUGUAAUUUUAAUGAGUCCCGAUCCAGUCACAGGUGGUGGGUGUUCAUUGGCGGAGCUGCGGGCCCCACAACACAGCGCCACCAAUGACAAAUCGCCAUGGGCGCGCACAUGAUCGAAAUGCUAAUUGAACAUAUUAUCUGCAAGAACCCUGUUUAGUGUUCUAUUAGCUUUGUUUCGUCUGUCAUUAACAUGCGCUUAUUACUUUUUAUUUCAAUUGUCAGGAUGGGAAGAUUGAUACUGAUUCCGUCUACAGUGGGUUUAAAGACAACCUGGGGUUAAUAUGGGAUCAUUUCUUGUCAUGCGAGCAGCUUUUGACAUGAACAACAGAUUGCAAGCUCUCCCCUACUCUGGGUUGAUGUUUGCAUUUGGGUGCAUCCUGUACUUGCUGCUGUGGAAAGAUGUAAAUAGGAUGAUGUCUGUGUCAAAUGGUUUUUUGCUAAUUAUGUGUGCACUUUUAUUAAAUCUUUGCUGGAGUAGUUCUCAUUCUGAACUUCAAAUUUUGUCCAGUUUCGGCCUCAUUUUUUUUCUCGUGUUUUACCUUUUCAUGUGUGAAUAAAUAUCAACAACUAGUACAAAUUUGUAAGACUAAGACCUGUCUUUCAAAAUUAAUGACAUUGCUUGAAUCACUUGGGAUCCACUUGCAGAUCUAUUUUGAAGAAAAGUUUUCUCCCCAACCUUAAUCGGUAAUGCAUUAUGAUUCUCUCCUUAUUUUUUUUUCUUUUUUCUUUUAGUCUCAUUUUAUUUUUUAAAUUUAGAUUAAAAAAAUCAAUUUAAUAACAAAUAAAAUAAAAGAAACUGGUUUAAUUGUUAAUAUCAGAAUUUAAAAUUUAAUUUUGAUUUUUUUUUUUAAUGAUGGUGAUCGUUUAGUCCAUAAGGAGCGAUCAAGAGUAACAAAAAAAGAUUAUUGUCUGUCAGUAAUAUGGUAAUUUAUAGAAAGGUCCCUGAUGAUGUCCGGUUAAAAUUUAAUUAAAUUAGUAAAUUAGAGAAUUAGUUAAUUUUUUCACAUAUUACAUUAAAGUGGAGUCUCGCUGCGAGCAAAAGAGAUGCCUUUUACAAAGCAAGAAAAGAAAACACAAAAAGCACACUUCAAAACUUGUGCAAGAAGGAGAUAUGUAUAUUGAUACAUGUAUAUAUACCCACGUCUGAGGAUCAGCUGAACCAACACCCAACACUAGGAAGCAAUUUUAAAAUUUUUGGUUAGUAUUGUUAUUUACAUCUUAUCAAUUUUUGUUCAAUUUAUUAUAUUUUUACUACAGCUUUGUUUCAGGGUACUUGUCAUGUGAAUUUCUCUGAUGAUUUUGGUGGGUUCUUUUCAGCUUUUAUUUCACUGUCUCCACUGGUUAGCUUAGCUACUGUCUACUGAGAUAAAAUCAUUUGCUAGAAUAACUUAAUCUUUUGCUAUUUUGUUAUAUUCAUUUUAUACAGAAUUAAAUCAUUGUAUCAAAUGUUUGUUUUAGCUCUGAUCUUGCGUUACUGAAACGUUUCAUUCAUUUUUCCCAAGCACUUUGGUUGCUAGUUUAUCGGGCAGUACUGCGAUAGUGAUUUCAAUUUACAAAAUUCUGUAAAUACUUAUUAUUCUUAGUGUCGUUUAAGGUAGUGUGAAGUUAAUAUUAUCACAAUGGCUUACAUUCCACCAAAUUUGAGGCGUUCGAAGGACCCCCAGAGGCCCUCUCCAGUUCCGGAGAUGCUUGAGCCUAUAUUCAACAGAAAAUUAAAAUUGGGAUCAUCCAAGCAUGACGCAGGCGCGAGUACAAAUUGCAUCGAGUAUGGAGACCAUGCCGUACACAGAUCGUUUGUCUGUGGCUUGGAUAAUAAUAAAAGCAUUUCUUCUGACCAUUUCGAGGAGGUUCCAGAGGAGCCUGAUGAGCAAAAAAGAUCAGUGACCAUUAAUCUGGCCACAGGUUAGUGGUCGGCAUUUUUAGUUUUAUUUUAGAUAUGUUCUACUUUCGUUCUUGAUUUAUGUCGGGUGUUAACUUUAGUUAUGUUGACAUUUUUGGUUGGUAGAUAAUGAUAAAGCGUGUGCAAAUACAUCAAGAAGCCCCUGGGAAUCGAUAGCAGCAAAUGUAUGGCCAGAUGUAUUGAGUGCUUGUAACAUUGUCAAGAACGAAAUGGAGGAAAAGCCAAAAAUGGUUGCUAGAUUUGGCAAUAUUCUUUUCGAUGAGUAUGUGAUCUGGUUCCAUUGGUGUUCCAGCUUGAAUGUUUUUAGUUUGAUCAUUCCAUUCCUUUCUUUUGGCUUUGAAAUUGUAGCAACGAAUAUGCAUAUUCACACUGAAAUCUGACAGAAAUUUUGCGGUCAUAUAAGUACCGGCAGCUAAAAUUACGAAGUUUACCAUUAACGCUAGUGCCAUCAACGGAUGACAGUAAAUCGGAUCUCCAAACCAGGGAUACAAGUUAACAUUGCUUGUAAAAGCUAAAGAAGAAAAGAUUUAUUAAAAAAAUAAUAAUAAUAAAUAAAGGGAAAAGAAAUGACAAGAUCAAUGAUUUAUAGUGCAUGCACUUCUUGAGACUUGUUGUAUCUCAAGGAAGCUUCCAUGGCAUCUAGAAUUUGGCUUUGGCUUCUUGUAGGCACAUUUCAGUAGUUGCUGCUGGAAACAAAUGUAUCCAUUGUCUUAGUACUGCUACAUUUCUGGUGCGAGAAACAAAUCAAUCUGUUGCCAUGGCCAGGUUUUAUUGUUUGAUGUUUCAUUGGGACAGCAAACUAAACCAUUGCUUGGCCUAUUUCUUAGAAUAAAAAUGAUACUAUGUGUAUCACAUAUUUCCAUUCUUCUAUCACGUCUUUGAAACUGCUAUUAGUUUUCUUAUCAAGGUGCCUCAAAGAAAUAAUUAUUAUAUAAUUCAUCUUGACGCAGGAACGAUUUACUGAGCUUAGAAAGUGCAAGCGAACAUCAAGUUGCUGAAACCGCUUUUAAGGCAAUGAGGACCUGCUUUGACACAGGUGUCCCUGCUACAUACAUGGAAAACAUUGUACAUAAAGUUGUGCCAAAAAUUGGGGUUGAUUUUGUACAGGACAAGGAUAUAUACCAUGUACAGGUAGUUCUUCUGCUAAACACUUAUAUAUUCACGAUCAAGUUUCUUUUAUCUCUCACUUAAUUUGGCCAUUAAUUGUUUUCCCCUUCUUGUCUAGUUGUGUGACGGCACACGACAAAUUUUGUGCAAAUGUACUGUUAAAGAAGAUAAAAAGCUUGAGCUCUAUAAGGCAAGUUUUAUGCAUUUGGCUAACUGUUAUUUAAAUCUUGUGUGUGUUGCCUGUAUUUUAAGGAGACUUUUUGCUUGUUCAAACAUCGCAACAAGACUUCUGAUGUAUUGAAUUGAAUAGAUGAGGGUCUGAAUAUAAUCUUUUCACUGUGAUUAUAAAGGAGGUACCAAAAUAAAAGCGAUAAACAUUAAGAAUGAGAUGAAACCUUUAUGCCUCACUAAGACUUUUUAGAAGUCUCUGCAGGAAUAAUCUCAAUUUUGAGGAAAAGAGUUUAAAAUGAAGAAGAAAAUUCUCAAUGAGUAAGACUAAUUCUACUUCUGAUUGAGGAAGAGGCUUGUUAAUUCGAUAAGGAAAGAUCUAGUUAGUAUUAUGAACCAAUUAAAAUUUGAAUUACGUUAGUUUACCUGUAAUUGAAUGUCUAAACCAACAAACUAUGUAUUACAUUACAGUUGCGAAUAUAAAAUUAUAAAAAUACUGCUGAUUAUGGACCAAAUUGAAUAUGCCAAUCUUUAGGAACUCCUUUCAGCAUCAUGGAUUUAGAUUUCAGUAAUCUUUUUUAUUUGACUAUGGUGACAUCCCGAAGACCUGAACUAUCCAGUAUCUGAUGGUAGUCAUUUUUUAUUUAUUUAUUGUUGCAUUCUCGUCUUGAAUAUGAACAUUUUUCUUGUAGGUCCAACUAAACCAAGUUCGUCACAUGGUAGCUGAUAUAUUCUGUUUUGAUGAAAAUCUAGAUUUGAGGUUGGCACUAUAUACAAGAAGUACCUUAUUUGCUCUCCCUGUGAGUUCAUCUGCUACUUUGCGCUUGUUUUACCUAGACUUUUAAGUUACCCCUUCAUUUUUUACUCUUUUUGUUUUAUUUGGUUAUUGCUCAUUAGAAUCCUCAUCGAUACAGAUGGUGGGGAAUAAAAAUUCAAGACCAGGGUAAAUGAGGAAAUCUAAAACUUAUAGCUGUGUUUUCAUCAUCAAAAGUUUACUUUCGAAGGGUUGAGAAAAACAAAUAUAUGACGAGCUUAAACGGUCAAACUUUAGUCAUGCAUUGCCCUUUCCUUGAAAUCAGAAACCUUACAAAUGUUAAAAAUAAAAUAAUAAAUAAAUCAUUAGAUUUUCAAAAUUAGUUGCCAUCAAUUAGAAUUAAAACAAAAGUUAAAUAUAAGGUUUUUCUUGUUGUUGGGGUGCGUAUGUGUGUUCUCGAUCUGUUGUGAGGAAUGUACAUUUUUAUUUUAUAUUGCUGGAAACAAUCUUGAGUUAUAAGCCAAAAAUGUGUAUUUACCAUAUCUUAUAUUUUCUAUGUAGGCCUAGCAAAUGAAUUCCAUGAUGAAACUGAAAUUGUAAAAUUUGCAGGAUGAUGACAUGAGCAGCAUUAGAAUUCUGAUUAAUUCAGCCAUCCCGGAUCCGAAGGUAAAGGGUGGUUUAAGAUGGCCCGUGGGCAAGUCAUAUUCCGGGAAUUACACAGUUGUUGGGGUUUGGCACAAUGAAUUUAAGUCAUAUAAAAGCCCAUCACUAAAGCUCAAGGUAAGAAAUGUUGAUCGAUUUCUUUUCAAGGCUGGAACUGGGGUAGCUACAAUCGAGAUUAAUCUAAAGUUCAGAAGAAUAAUUUCGGACAUUCAGGUAUUUGCUGCUUUUUGUUUUAACUUUAUCACGUGACCUGCUAUCUUUGUGUAUGAAUAUAUAGAGCUUGAAAUUCUUGCUGUUACAUCAUAAGGUUAAUGCAUAUAUCUUCACACAUUUCUUAUUGAGGUUUUAUUUUGAGCUAUAAUUAUAAUUUUCAAUUUUUACUAUUUAAUGGGUAUUUUCUUGUAGAUUGCUGUACCCAAAAAAAAAAAAAAAUUUGAUCAAGAGUAUUUUUAACGGUGAAAUAGCAAGAUUCUAAUGUAUAAUCUUCAUGAACUCGUUUUAGUUGUUAUACAGUUGUCCCUCUCUGUUAGUUUAUUUAUUCUGUCGUAACUCGCAAGUAACAAAUGACUUUUUAGCUAUUGCCUAAACUGGAGUAAAUGUGAUUUCAAAACUGAGCUUCCAGCUUAUGACUUAGAAGUCUUAUGUGUGUGUCUUGCACUUUGGUUUUACAAUCACCAUUGGAAGAGGAGCUAGAGUUUGUUAAUUGCUUCAGUCCCAGGAUUAGUGUUUUGAAACAUAAAUAUGUUUCAUGAUUGUUAUUGCUCACUAUUUCCUAUGGCUUUGUCCCCAUGAUCAUACAAAAUUAGUUUUGUAUUUGGUAUCUUUCAUGUUUCAUUAACAUGUUCUUAUUACUUUUCUCUUUUAAUCGUCAGGACGGGGAGAUUGAUCCCGAUUCCAUCUACAAUGGGUUUAAAGACAAGUUGAGGUUAAUAUGGGACCAUUUCUUGUCAUGGGAAGAUUGAUACUGAUUCCAUCUACAGUGGGUUUUAAAGCCAACUUGAGGCUAAUAUGGGAUCAUUUCUUGUCAUGCGAGUAACCUUGGACAUAAACAGCUCUCCUUCUACUUCGUUCGUAUUUGCAUGCGUGUGCAUUAUGUACUUAUUGCUAUUGAAAGAUGUAAAUGCAAGAACGAGAUCACGUUCAUAUCGAAUGGAUAAAUGUUUUUGCUAAAAUGUAUAGACUUGUAUAAGUCGUUGCUUGAGUUCCUAAAUUCUCAUUCUGACCCAGUUUUUACCUCAGUUUUUUCCCGUAUAAUAG